GCUGAUGUGAUUGUGGAGGUCAGCAAGUCCAAAAUCUUCGAGAUGUGCUGGCAGGCUGGUGAUCCGGGGAAGAGUUGCUGUCGUACCUGAACUCUGAGAGCCGUCUGCUGGCAGAAUUCUCUCUUCCUCGGAGGAGAAUCACCAUGAGAACAGCUGGGACUCAUUGACCAAUGGCAGCUGGAUGACCCGCAGUCGCCAUCCACUGAAUCCUUCCAGAAACACCUGCACGUGGAGGGAGGUAUUGCUGUCUCCCCAUUUUGCAGGCUGGCCUAAUGGGAAGGUUGACCUGAUUUCCACUCUCCUACCGAAAAGUGACAAUGCAGCUGCCGGGCCAAGGAGGGACGUUGUGUGACCAGUUCAGAGGCAGGAGUUCACGCGGCUGCAGUGACCCUCUGCAAAAGGAAGCAACUGGACAUUUCCUCUACACAUUGUCUCUUUUGAAAAGUUCCAAGCAGAUGCUCGCCCACCCACCAAGGCUGAGGCCGAAGAAAAUUCUGCGAUGACAAGGCUCUGCAGGUGCCGUACAGAGCGAGUACUUUUCAGGCAGCUGGCGGAGCCCAGAGCAAGCUUCCCCCGGAGCAUCCAAAGGGGCCACUUGGCUGCGGUCGCCAUUGUGAGAACAACAGGAAACUGAGCAGGGGCUGCGCUCGUCCUGGGCAGGACAACUCUCCAUUUCCCUUCAGGCCUGGCAUUGUUUUGCUGAUGGAAGAAAAGUGGAAUGGGGCGUGAUCACACUGCCGGCUCAGCAGCUGGAAAGCUCGUGUUGGCUUAAAUGUGCACAAGAUGUCCUCUGGUUGCUGGAUUUGGCUUCUUUGAUGACUGCAUUGCCCUGAGACUGGACCCCAGAGAAUCUCUGAAUUAUUGGGUGCUUUGACGGUUAAUCACUGAACAACAAAGAAUCACUCAAUAAUUGGAUGCCUAUCUAAAAACACUUCCCAACCUCCUUUGCAUAUAGACAUGACCAACAUGCUGAGGUCAAUGUGUAGGGGUUUCCAGGAAGGCUCUUUAAGGAGAACCAAUUCACCUGCAAGAAGGAUGAUGAAGUCUUCCGCCCCGAGAUCCUGAGAGAACAGUGGGCUUAGUGGAAACACCACACACCUGGCUGGGUCUUGUCAGGUGGAGACGCUGAGAGGUAUUUCUUUCCAGUCCCGGAAGACGCGGAAUUCUUUCCCGGCAGCUUUGUUCGGCCUGCGUCUGAGCGAGAAAGAUACCACAUCCCAGAGUUGCUGUGAGCUUCAAACGAGACAAGAUAUGUAGAAGUGCCAUGCAAAUAUAAACCAGUUCUACAACUCUAGGUGGACAGCGGAGAACAGACUUCCUGUCUUGAGCACCUGCCCUGUUUAGGCUUCCCAGCAGCGGUAAACAGCAUCUCCCGUUGCCUCCUGCUUCCAAGGGCGGUUCCAAAGAAGAAUCAUGGUUGUUGAGUUGCUUGGCGAAACACUCCGCACACAGUAGGUACCCCGUAUAUAAUUGUUUAAUGAAUUAAUUAAAGAAUGAAUUAAUGGAAAUAAAGCACAGGGCAAGGUGUCCAGCCCGUGGGAACUACUCACUAACUAUGUGUUAUUAGGACUGAUCACGACGAUUAUAAAAUAAUUAUAAUGCAGCCUUGAAAAUAGCCACCAGCCUGUGUGCAUCUGGGCAGCCAAAGAAAAUAUGAGUCACCGCCAUAACCAUCAGGUCUAUUGCCAACUUCCAGGCCCAGGUAGAAUUUCUCUGUGGCUUUAAGGUUCAGGCAACUAAAUAUGUGGAGAAGUGAUAUCUGUCAAGCUGGAGGCUUUAUGUCCGGGGUGCAAUUUACCACGACUUCUUUUGUCUCUGCCAUGGUGGCUGGCAACGUCUGAAUGCUGGUGGAGUGACAGCUCUCCGCAGAAGCACGGUAGAAAAACAAGAUCAAGGUCGCACGAAAGAGGGUUGUGUGUUCUUGUGGCAAAUCUAGUCCACCCUGGCUGGUAGAAUAACCUAAAGGAAAUUGUCAAAUCAGGUGGAGCAAGGCGGCUCAAGCUCUGUCCAGCAAUCUGCUGUAUUUUUCUCUUCUCUCUGUGGGUUUUGAACCAAAAUCUGUUUCCAGUUCAUGUCUAGUUAAAUGUCUUUAUUCUCUUUGGUUUAAUCACCAAGAGCAGAAAGGCAUGAUGAGGGCGUCUCUGAUCAUAAUUAAAUCUAGCCUGUGAAAAUGCUCUUGGCUAGACUCUGCUGGUCUUCAUCGUAAAGCCCGUGGGAAGCUCUCAGGAUCAAUAUUCUGCCUUGUU